UACCAUGUGUGGACACAGCAAGAAGGCAGCAUCUAUAAGCUAGGAAGGAGGCCCUCACCAGACUUGGAAUCUGCUGGCUUCCUGAUCUUGGCCUUUCUAGCCUCCAGAACUGAACAUGGAUGAAGCUGGAGGCCAUUAUCCUUAGCAAACUAACACAAGAACAGAAAACCAAAUACCGCAUGUUCUUCCUUAUAAGUGGGAGCUACAUGAUGAGAUGAGAACAUUGCCCAAAGGAACCAAGUGAAAUUACCAAAUUAGAAGUGAUAAGAGGUUGACUCUCUCCAGAAAUUUAUUGUAAUUAGAAAGAGGUAAUGGUGUCUAAAUAAGAUGAAAGAAGAUAUUUUAAAGAUGAUAAUAACAAAAACUACUAGAAUGAGGUGAAGCCAGAAAGGAAGAGUCAUAAUCAAAGAAGAGAGUGAUCAAGAAUCCAAAAUAGACAGAGAGAGCAGGCUCUUAGAGAAAUGGGAGAACUACCGCACUGACUCUGCACGUAGGAGACAGGCAGGAGAGGAGCGCCCCAGCCAGAGCUCAACAUGCGCAAACAGGAAGUGUGUCCGAGGUUUUCUGGAGCUCACAGGAGCCGGGGACCCACAGC
rnacentral:lncRNA from 10 species